GUUGUCUUUUUGUCAUGAUAAUAGAAUAUAAACUGUACACGAUGUGCAAAUAUUAGUUAAGGUGAUUAACGCAUGACGCUGGAGAGCGGAUCGUACAGCAAAUGGUGGAUAGGUUCUAGCAUAUCUUCGCUCAGACCUGGCUGCAGACAGACAUAAUCAGAUGGAAUUCAAUGUAUACUAACUGUGUAGAACUUCCUAGACCUAGAACUGAAAGGUAUGGCAGGAACUCUUUCCGUUACUCUGCAGCCAGUAUGUGGAACUCUAUGCCGGACAUAUUCAGAUAGUGCUCGUCUUACAACCAGUUCAAAUCCCUGAUCGACCAAUGGAAUGGACCCGAUUGCAGCUGUUCUGCAUGUGCCCGGUAGGGAGCGCUGACAUGCUGGCUGGCAAGGUACAGUACUAUAUAGUUAUGUCAACCUGUCCUCUGUAUGUUUGUCAUUUUUGUUUCCUUUACUUUGUGUCUUUUUCCCUUAGUUUGCCAUAGUUUGCUAUUUAUUUGCUUGCUU